CGAGUGGCGGACGGGUGGGUAAUACUUAGGAAUCUGCCCAUUAGUGGGGGACAACUAGAAGAAAUUCUAGCUAAUACCGCAUACGCCCUACGGGGGAAAGCGGGGGAUCUUCGGACCUCGCGCUAAUGGAUGAGCCUAAGUCGGAUUAGCUUGUUGGUGAGGUAAAGGCUCACCAAGGCGACGAUCCGUAGCUGGUCUGAGAGGACGAUCAGCCACACUGGGACUGAGACACGGCCCAG
rnacentral:rRNA from 1 species